rnacentral:misc_RNA from 1 species
AAGAUGAUAAGAUUGAGUUGAAAACUUUUGAGGAAUCUAUUCUAUAGAAAGUUGCUGAUGAAGCCGAGUAAGAAAAGAUUAAAGAAUCUAUCCUAGGGGAAAGAAGAAACUCAAGCCAAGGAAACUUCAAUGAAAAUUAAAGAUUUAUGUAAUUCUUUUGUCCCUAGUGAAUCAAAGAGCCUUCCUUUUCAAAUUGUAAUUGAUUUUAUCUGUUUAGAUGUUCUUGGAGAUGUGAAGGAAA